rnacentral:rRNA from 1 species
UGGGGAAUAUUGGACAAUGGGCGCAAGCCUGAUCCAGCCAUGCCGCGUGAGUGAUGAAGGCCCUAGGGUUGUAAAGCUCUUUCACCGGUGAAGAUAAUGACGGUAACCGGAGAAGAAGCCCCGGCUAACUUCGUGCCAGCAGCCGCGGUAAUACGAAGGGGGCUAGUGUUGUUCGGAUUUACUGGGCGUAAAGCGCACGUAGGCGGACUAUUAAGUCAGGGGUGAAAUCCCCGGACUCAACCCCGGAACUGCCUUUGAUACUGGUAGUCUUGAGUUCGGGAGAGGUGAGUGGAAUUCCGAGUGUAGAGGUGAAAUUCGUAGAUAUUCGGCGGAACACCAGUGGCGAAGGCUGCUCACUGGCUCGAUACUGACGCUGAGGUGCGAAAGCGUGGGGAGCAAACAGG